rnacentral:rRNA from 1 species
CCUACGGGAGGCAGCAGUGGGGGAUAUUGGUCAAUGGGGGAAACCCUGAACCAGCAACGCCGCGUGAGGGAUGACGGCCUUCGGGUUGUAAACCUAAGUUAUUAGGGAUGUAACAUAUGACAGUACUUGAAAAGCAAGCUUCGGCUAACAACGUGCCAGCAGCCGAGGUAAUACGUAGGCAGCAAUCGUGGUCCGGAUUUACUGGGUGUAAAGGGUGCGUAGGCGGGAAGAGAAGUCAGGCGUGAAAUACCGGGGCUCAACUCCGAGGCUGCGCUUGAAACUGUGGUUCUUGAGUGAAGUAGAGGCAGGCGGAAUUCGUGGUGUAGCGGGGGAAUGCGUAGAUAUUAGGAAGAACACCAGUGGCGAAGGCAGCCUGCUGAGCUUUAACUGACGCUGAUGCACGAAAGCAUGGGGAGCAAACAGGAUUAGAUACCCUGGUAGUC